rnacentral:rRNA from 1 species
CGCCUCUUGCUUAAUAUAAGAGGUCCAGCCUGCCCAGUGAAAAUUUAACGGCCGCGGUACCCUGACCGCGCGAAGGUAGCAUAAUCACUCGUUCUUUAAAUAGGGACUUGUAUCAAUGGCAUCACGAGGGUCGCACUGUCUCCUCCCCCCAAUCAGUGAACCUGAUCUCUCCGUGAAGAAGCGGGGAUGAAAAUAUAAGACGAGAAGACCCCAUGGAGCUUUAAACCCAAAGCAAUCUAAUAAAAUAAACCCCCAUAUAAUUUAAGUAUGCAUAACGGCUUUAGGUUGGGGUGACCGCGGGGCAAAAACAAACCCCCACAACGAAAAGAGAUAAACCUUUAUUUAAGAGCUACUACUCUAAAAAUUAGCACACUAACGAACAAUGACCCGACAAUCGAUCAAUGAACCAAGUUACCCUGGGGAUAACAGCGCAAUCUACUUCAAGAGCCCAUAUCGACAAGUAGGCUUACGACCUCGAUGUUGGAUCAGGGUAUCCCAGUGGUGCAACCGCUACUAAUGGUUCGUUUGUUCAACGAUUAAAACCCCU